UACGUAGGGUGCAAGCGUUAAUCGGAAUUACUGGGCGUAAAGCGUGCGCAGGCGGUUUUGUAAGUCUGACGUGAAAUCCCUCGGCUCAACCAAGGAAGUGCAUCCGAAACUGCAGUACUUGAGUACGAAAGAGGAUCGCGGAAUUCCCGGUGUAGAGGUGAAAUUCGUAGAUAUCGGGAGGAGCACCAGUGGCGAAGGCGGCGAUCUGGGUCGAUACUGACGCUGAGGUGCGAAAGCGUGGGGAGCAAACAGG
rnacentral:rRNA from 1 species